rnacentral:rRNA from 1 species
AGGGAAUCUUCGGCAAUGGGGGCAACCCUGACCGAGCAACGCCGCGUGAGUGAAGAAGGUUUUCGGAUCGUAAAGCUCUGUUGUAAGUCAAGAACGGGUGUGAGAGUGGAAAGUUCACACUGUGACGGUAGCUUACCAGAAAGGGACGGCUAACUACGUGCCAGCAGCCGCGGUAAUACGUAGGUCCCGAGCGUUGUCCGGAUUUAUUGGGCGUAAAGCGAGCGCAGGCGGUUUGAUAAGUCUGAAGUUAAAGGCUGUGGCUCAACCAUAGUUCGCUUUGGAAACUGUCAAACUUGAGUGCAGAAGGGGAGAGUGGAAUUCCAUGUGUAGCGGUGAAAUGCGUAGAUAUAUGGAGGAACACCGGUGGCGAAAGCGGCUCUCUGGUCUGUAACUGACGCUGAGGCUCGAAAGCGUGGGGAGCGAACAGGAUUAGAUACCCUGGUAGUCCACGCCGUAAACGAUGAGUGCUAGGUGUUGGAUCCUUUCCG